rnacentral:rRNA from 1 species
AGAGUUUGAUCAUGGCUCAGGAUGAACGCUAGCUACAGGCUUAACACAUGCAAGUCGAGGGGCAGCAUGUUGGUUGCUUGCAACCAACGAUGGCGACCGGCGCACGGGUGAGUAACGCGUAUCCAACCUACCCUUGUCCAUCGGAUAACCCGUCGAAAGGCGGCCUAACACGAUAUGCGGUUCACGGCAGGCAUCUAAGGUGAACGAAAUGUGAAGGAGAAGGAUGGGGAUGCGUCUGAUUAGCUUGUUGGCGGGGUAACGGCCACCAAGGCUACGAUCAGUAGGGGUUCUGAGAGGAAGGUCCCCCACAUUGGAACUGAGACACGGUCCAAACUCCUACGGAGACA